rnacentral:rRNA from 1 species
UACGGAGGGUGCGAGCGUUAAUCGGAAUUACUGGGCGUAAAGGGUGCGUAGGUGGUUUGUUAAGUUAGUUUUGAAAUUCCUGGGCUUAACCUGGGCUGGAGGACUAAUACUGAUGAACUGGAGUAUAGGAGAGGGUAGUGGAAUUUCCGGUGUAGCGGUGAAAUGCGUAGAGAUCGGAAGGAACACCAGUGGCGAAGGCGGCUACCUGGCCAGAUACUGACACUGAAGCACGAAAGCGUGGGGAGCAAACAGG